GAGAGAGAGAGAGAGAUUUUCCACCCGACACUGAACACAGGGAAACUUUAGAGAUGGGUUUUUGACCAGAACAGCUUCUCAUUUAAAGAAAAAACUUGAAAAAAAUAAAAGAAAGAAAACCAGUAAGAGUACUGUUAUUAAUGAUUGUUGUGAAGCGUUGGUUUUGGUUUUCAAUUUAGCAAUUUCUUUUGUUUAAAAGGGAUUUUGGCUUGUUCUGCAAGUUAAAGAGAAA
rnacentral:misc_RNA from 1 species